ensembl:lncRNA
ACCUGACCCAAGGUUGAGCACUUUCAGUGCUCAGCAUCUGAGCUGCUUGCUCAGGUAUCCCGGGAGUGAUUAAAUGUGUUCAUAUUCGGGAAAGAAAGCUGACUCCCACUUGCAUUUAGAGGGCUCAGGGCUUGUCAUUUGUUUCUGGGACACAAAAAAAUGGGAAAUACAACAGCUCCAAUCUUCUUCUGUGUUGCAAAGGAAGGCAGCUGUCAUGUAACCAGCAGUCCUAAGAAGUUAUUACUAGUCCCAUUAUACAGACAAGGAAACUGAGACCCAAAGGAGUCAUUUAGUUGGAAACAAAACACUGUAUCUUCGUCAUCUUUAAUCAUGAGGCUGAAAAUUGAGAACUGGUUGUAGAUUUUGCAUGUGUAUGUAUAUGACAAGAGUUAUGAUUGCUUCAAGGAUUAUGAUACUGAUAACACCAAUGCCAAAACUAUUAAAUAAGGCUAAUGCAGCCAUAUAACUUACAAA